GUCCAGUUGACGAGACCCAAAUAGGACUAAACGUACUUUCUGGAU
rnacentral:hammerhead_ribozyme from 1 species